rnacentral:rRNA from 1 species
UACGGGGGGGCGAAGCGUUGUUCGGAAUUACUGGGCGUAAAGGGCUCGUAGGUGCCAACUAAGUCGGACGUGAAUCCCUCAGCUUAACUGGGGAACUGCGUCCGAUACUGGAUGGCUUGAAUAUGGAAGAGGGUAGUAGAAUUCCUGGUGUAGUGGUGAAAUACGUAGAUAUCAGGAGGAAUACCGGUGGCGAAGGCGGCUACCUGGUCCAAUAUUGACGCUGAGGAACGAAAGUGCGGGGAUCAAACAGGAUUA